AGAGUGUUCCACCAAAGCUUGGCAAGCGCUUCAGUAUUGUCACCAUCCUCCUGGGAGAUCACCCAUGAAUCUCGAACGUGAUAGCUACCAGAAAUGUGGGUGGGCAAAGUCAGCAAGUGAUAACACUGCCUUUCUGUGUAUGAGGCCUCAUUAAUACUUCAGUAUUCAUCUGAAGACAGAAGGAAAGUAACAGACCACAGUUGCCUGUGUUUUCUUUCCUCUUCCAAACCACUUCUGCUCCAAAGACCAUGAACCUGAACUGAAGAAACGACUCUUUCCUGCUGGCGUGAGAUAAUUCAGUCUCCAUGAUGUCUUAAUCCUGGGCCUCCCUUAAUUGACUUCUAACUGUGCUGAACUGUGGCUGCUAGGAGUUGCAAUGUGGAUCGCAAUUUACAAGGCACUGGAAUCGUUUCUCGUCCUCAAAUUAGUCCUGAGUUGUACUGGAGAAAGAUUAAAAAAAAAAAAAAUGAAGGUUUACCUUGCUGGCUGUCUUGCCAUCUCAAGUGAGACUGCUUUAGCAUCUCAGAAUGGAUAGUUGCCUUUUAACAACUUAGUUAGGGACAAAAAGGAAAGAGCAUUAGGGCUGCCAAUACCUUGUCAAUUUUGUCUUAAUAGAGUUGCCUCACGUGGCUUAUCUUGUCCAGGGGGACUGAAGAGCUCCUAAUAUUCUAAGAUAUUCAUGAGGGAGUGAUGAUUAUUUUUAAGCUCUGUUCUGUGGGGAUCCAAUAUAAGGAUCACCUUUUCCUUUCCCAUGAAUGUCAUUGGGAUACAUUUAUUAAUUAAGAAGUGUCCUAGAUCUUCACACAGGGGUUGGAGAGGUAGGGGGAAGAAAUUUAUUUUUCCUAUGGCCCCUUAUGGCCAUUUAACAUUUAUUUCUACCUAUCCUACCUAGGUUCUUCCUUUCCUCCUUGGGACCCCCAGCUUGGAAAGUCAUGAUAUAUGUACAUAUAUACACCAGUGAGUAUAGAUGCUCUGUUAACUCUUGGGAUAAAUAAGAUAUGCUAGAGUCUUCAAAGAAUUCACAGCCCAAGGGGGAGAUAGGUUCAUAAAUGAUAGUGAUAUAAUUUUAACGGAUACACAGAGAGUGAAGAGUGUUUAUGGGAGCAGAGAGGAAGGACACCUCUCAUUGGGGCUGAAGGAGUAAAGGGUGGUUUUCUGGAAGAGAGGACAAAGGAAUCAGCUCUUAAGGAUGAGUUGGAAUCAGUUCCAUGUGACACUGGAAUGAAGUUGGGGCAUUUGGGGGUAGUUGAUCAUGCCAGGAGGUAGGUAUGAGUGGUCCUCUAUGCAAUGGCAGUGGGCUUGAACUUCAAGUAGAGGAUAGGGAGGCUCUUAAGCAGGGAGUGAAACUGGUCAGAUUUGUGCCUUCUGUAUGUCAUUUAGGCAGCUAGGCACAGGAUGAAUUUGAGCAUAGCAAAACUAAAGCUGGAGGUCAGACAGGAGGCUAUUCCAGUGGUCUGGAAGAAAGUCCUGAAUUACGGUGGUGAUAGCAAGAUGGUGAGGGGUUAGAGUUGAGAGAUAGCUCAUAGAUUAAACUGGAAGGAGUUGGGCUAAGUUCAUAGAAGGUGACUCAGAGGUUCAUUAAUUCUUCAGAAUGGUCACAGAAACUACUGAGGGUUAUGGGUGGGCAUUCGAGUAUGAAAUCAAGUGUCAUAAGAAUUCUAUGAAGUCUGGUCCUUCUCAUUCUCAGGAUCCUUUAGACAUUGUGGGAUAACUGUGAUGGAGAACUGAGGAUGACUGGGGCUGGGACGAUUGGGACCUGACUAGUUUUCAGUUAAGCCUAGGAUUUGCAUUUCUCAAUGUUUCCCGACUGAGAGCACUAUCUUUUGUCAUGGGAAUGCCCUUUAGCUCCUCGAAUGAUUCCUCAGAGCUUUUAGGAGAAAACCAGCAUCCUGGGCUUAGUACUCAAGAUCCUGUAAUGGUCUGUCCCCAUCUUCUUUCUCCUCUCAUACCACUUUCCAGAGGGGCAUUCUUUCUCUGUGCCUUGCCAUUCUGGCCAUUUAAUAAUCAUGGACCUUUGCAAAUGUUGUUCCUUCUUCUGAGGUUUUGUCCCACAGUUUUGCAUCCCAGUAUCUUUUACUCACCUUCAAAAAGUGUCCUGGAGAUCUUACUAGACAGUAAGGUAGACUUGAAGGGAAAGAACAGCAUUUAUGUGUACAUAAAUGUAUAUUUAUUUUUAGUGGUUAGCUCAGUGCUUAGCAAAGAGUUUUGAAUGAAUAUGUGUAGGUAUUUCUCUUGUCCUAUUAUCAGGCUCAGAUUGUCAGCAAUUUUUAAGUUAUAACAAUCGCUUAAAAUACCCAGCAAUAAAACA